AUUGAACGCUGGCGGCAUGCUUUACACAUGCAAGUCGAGCGGCAGCGCGGGGCAACCUGGCGGCGAGCGGCGAACGGGUGAGUAAUGCAUCGGAACAUGUCCAUGUCGUGGGGGAUAGCCCGGCGAAAGCCGGAUUAAUACCGCAUGUGCCCGAGAGGGGAAAGUGGGGGACCGCAAGGCCUCACGCGAUUGGGUUGGCCGAUGUCCGAUAGCUAGUUGGUGGGGUAAAGGCUCACCAAGGCGAUGAUCGGUAGCUGGUCUGAGAGGAUGAUCAGCCACACUGGGACUGAGACACAGCCCAGACUCCUACGGGAGGCAGCAGUGGGGAAUUUUGGACAAUGGGGGCAACCCUGAUCCAGCCAUUCCGCGUGAGUGAAGAAGGCCUCCGGGUUGUAAAGCUCUUUUGUCCGGAACGAAACGGUUAGGUUGAAUACGCCUGACUACUGACGGUACCGGAAGAAUAAGCACCGGCUAACUACGUGCCAGCCGCCGCAGUAACAC
rnacentral:rRNA from 1 species